GGCUUAGGAUGAACGCUAGCGACAGGCUUAACACAUGCAAGUCGAGGGGCAGUCACGGGAGUAGCAAUACAACUGGUGGCGACCGGCGCACGGGUGAAGUAACGCGUAUGCAACCUACCUAUCAGAGGGGAAUAACCCGGCGAAAGUCGGACUAAUACCGCAUAAAACAGGGGCACCGCAUGGUGAUAUUUGUUAAAGAAAUUCGCUGAUAGAUGGGCAUGCGUUCCAUUAGGUAGUUGGUGAGGUAACGGCUCACCAAGCCGACGAUGGAUAGGGGAACUGAGAGGUUGGUCCCCCACACUGGUACUGAGACACGGACCAGACUCCUACGGGAGGCAGCAGUGAGGAAUAUUGGUCAAUGGGCGGGAGCCUGAACCAGCCAAGUCGCGUGAAGGAAAAGAAGGAUCUAUGGUUCGUAAACUUCUUUUGCAGGGGAAUAAAGUGCAGGACGUGUCCUGUUUUGUAUGUACCCUGAGAAUAAGGAUCGGCUAACUCCGUGCCAGCAGCAGC
rnacentral:rRNA from 1 species